GGACGAACGCUGGCGGCGUGCUUAACCCAUGCAAGUCGAACGGAAAGGCCCUGCUUUUGUGGGGUGCUCGAGUGGCGAACGGGUGAGUAACACGUGAGUAACCUGCCCUUGACUUUGGGAUAACUUCAGGAAACUGGGGCUAAUACCGGAUAGGAGCUCCUGCUGCCUGGUGGGGGUUGGAAAGUUUCGGCGGUUGGGGAUGGACUCGCGGCUUAUCAGCUUGUUGGUGGGGUAGUGGCUUACCAAGGCUUUGACGGGUAGCCGGCCUGAGAGGGUGACCGGCCACAUUGGGACUGAGAUACGGCCCAGACUCCUACGGGAGGCAGCAGUGGGGAAUAUUGCACAAUGGGCGGGAGCCUGAUGCAGCAACGCCGCGUGCGGGAUGACGGCCUUCGGGUUGUAAACCGCUUUCGCCUGUGACGAAGCGUGAGUGACGGUAAUGGGUAAAGAAGCACCGGCUAACUACGUG
rnacentral:rRNA from 1 species